UAGCCCCCGGAAUCAAAAGUAGCCCCGUUUGACGGUACUGCCUUUGAAGUUUUAGUACAAUUUUGGAAGUUGAAUUCAAAACUGCUUCACCUUAUGAGUACAAAACACGAAGGUAUUCCGUUUAAUGGGAGCCGAUAGACAUACGAUCAGUUGUCAAACGUUCUAGCAGACGAAGGUCUGGUCGAACUUUAAAGUAAAAGAUAAGAUCAGUGAUUGCUGAGAGCGCAACUAAAACAAUCCUACUUUAUUUAACCAAAGCACAGUACAUUCAGUGCUGUUUCUCCCUCCGAUUGUGUACAAUCUCGAUUAGUGACCUCGGCUACCGAAAACGACGGAAAGUGAAGCGAUUGGGUGAUCGACGAAGCAGCCAUUCAUUCAGCAACGGAUCGGUUUUUGUUUUUCACCGAACACGGUUUAGCGAGCACCAUCCCGGCGGCGGUUUUCCUUGAGCGUUAUUGUGGGCCGUUAUAGUACGUUAGACGCAGGGAAGGGAUAGACGCCAUCGCGUUGGAAGAAAAAGUUGCCGUAAUCUAUUGUGAACGGCAUCCGCAGGCAAAUUGCAACUGUCUGUUAAUCUCAAUUGGUAAGAUAGUGGACGGAAGUUUAAUUGACCUACUGGAGUAUCCGUCACUGCGCGUUGGAAUACUGGUGCUUGUGUUCCAUGACCUUUUCAGCAUAAUCAGGGUGGUUCAAAUUCGAUCGUCUGCUAGUUUUGGUCUAGCUUGUUGGCCGUUCCAGAUCCAAUUUUGUUGGUCUGUCCCAAAUCAGAUCAGCAAAGGCUGAAGGACCUUCCGGUCCCGAGUUGUAUAGCAUUUAUACAAACAAAGUGGCGUUAAAAGUUUUGAUGACUUAUAUUUCUGAUAAUAACGGCAAAUGAAGCACCGUGACCCAGCAGAAGAGCAACUCCGGAGGGAUUCGGGGCGAAUUGAGGAUUGAAACGAGCGACGAGAUCGAAAUUCCCUCCUGACGCGCGCUCUAGUUAUGGCUUGUCGAAGGAUACGGGAAAUCCGAAAUAGGAUCCAACCUCUGCUGAGGGAGGUUGCUAAAUAUGCUGCUGCUGCCGAGGGGCGAGCGGGACGGGGUUCAAUUAAAUAUACAUAUAGCGACAAUCAAAUCGAUACAAACAAUAUGCUGCAAUUUAUCCAGGAGAACACAACGCUCCGACAAUAGGCGGAGUAGGUGAUGUAUCAUCAUCAUCGCCAUCAUCGCCGCCCCUCUCUACACGUCUCCCUCGCACCGUAUCAAUGCAUCUCACCCCAUCCCAUCCCACAUCCAGCAGCCAAGAACUUUGUGAUAUUAAUAAUUGAAUAAAAUUUGCAUUCAAACGAUAAAUGGUUUGUUAAACGAUUCCGCUCUUAUUUUCUGCCUCUGUGCUUUGAUUGCCGGUCGGGUCUAUCAAAUUCGCAGAAGUACCCUCAGUGAGAGAGCUCCGAUUCCCGGAAUUCCACUGCUCGGCACAUUCGGACGUAAUUGGCUGACUGUAUAGCUCUGUGGGACGAGUCCGGAGUCGGGGAAUGGGAGGCUGUCGGUUCGGUUCUGUCGGUCGGUCGGGCAAUUGUGUGAUAUCCUUUUGUGUCGAUUGCUGGCUGGCUGCUGCAGAGGCGUGUAUGAAAGCCGAGUCGAGCUCUUCCAUAGAGAGAGAGAACGAGCUUUGC